rnacentral:sRNA from 1 species
AGUAGAGUUACCGUAUGCCUGACAUGCGGGUGAUUGCUGUUGCCUCCCCUGCUACAUUAAAUAAUGCAUACAAACAAAUACAUACACACACACUGAGUACUCUGCAAACAUUGUUGCACAGCAACAGCAACGCCAACCGCAGAUAGCAGCAGAAAUUUCUGUAGUAAAACGGAAGUUGUUGUCGUAGUCAGCUUCGCGGAAGAAGCACGAAUAGAGGCUAGUGCUAACGUAAUUUUUCUCCAAAGCAACAAUUUGACGACAUUAAAAAAAGAAACGCACCUUUGCUACCUGAGCAAAGUUAACGCAAGCGAAAGAGCGCGAGAGGAAGAGAGAGAGAUAACUCUCAUACAGCUAGAGUUCUUCGAUGGCACAAAGGUUAUCAGCAAUAACAAAGAAUAGUAACAGUAGCAACAACAAUAAAAACAACUGCUUUCAGCAAUAACUGCACCUGCAACUCAAAAGCAAUCGCCGAACAACGCCUAAAAAACAAGUUAUAUAGAUAUAUAUGUUAUUCAGAGAGAGGGAGA